rnacentral:lncRNA from 1 species
UUUUACAUAAAUAAGGCCGUUAGUUUUCUCGUUUGAAUUGUUUUACAUUGUCUUAUCGUGGCCUUUUAUAGCUCACUAUGCGGUAUGGGCUUUGCUCAUUGUUGAAGGCCGUACGGUGACCUAUAGUUGUUAAUGUCUGUGUCAUUUUGGUCUUUUGUGGAUAGUUGUCUCGUUGGCAAUCAUACCACAUCUUCUUUUUUAUAU